rnacentral:tRNA from 2 species
GUGCCAGUAGCUCAAUUGGCAGAGCAUCGCACUGUGGAUGCGAGGGUUGUGGGUUCGAGACCCAUCUGGCACCCCA